rnacentral:rRNA from 1 species
UACAGAGGGUGCGAGCGUUAAUCGGAAUUACUGGGCGUAAAGGGCGCGUAGGCGGUAGAUUAAGUUAGAUGUGAAAUCCCUGGGCUUAACCUAGGAACUGCAUCUAAUACUGGUCUGCCAGAGUGCAGUAGAGGGUAGUGGAAUUUCCGGUGUAGCGGUGAAAUGCGUAGAUAUCGGAAGGAACACCAGUGGCGAAGGCGGCUACCUGGACUGACACUGACGCUGAGGCGCGAGAGCGUGGGGGGAGCAAACAGGAUUAGAUACCCUGGUAGUCCACGCCGUAAACGAUGAGAACUAGAUGUUGGUAGGCUUGACCUAUUAGUAUCGAAGCUAACGCGAUAAGUUCUCCGCCUGGGGAGUACGGCCGCAAGGCUAGAACUC